GACGAACGCUGGCGGCGUGCCUAACACAUGCAAGUCGUGCGGUCUCGCCUUAAGCGAAAGGCCUUCGGGCUUUGAAGCAAAGGCGAGAUAGCGGCGGACGGGUGAGUAACGCGUGGCUUAUCUGUCCCAGGGAGGGGGAUAACGUCUGGAAACGGGCGCUAAUACCCCAUAUGCCGAAAGGUAAAAAGGAGAGAUCCGCCCUGGGGUGAGGCCGCGUCCUAUCAGCUCGUUGGUGAGGUAACGGCCCACCAAGGCUAUGACGGGUAGCCGGCCUGAGAGGGCGGCUGGCCACACUGGGAUUGAGAUACGGCCCAGACUCCUACGGGAGGCAGCAGUGGGGAAUAUUGGGCAAUGGGGGAAACCCUGACCCAGCGACGCCGCGUGGAGGAAGGAGCCCUUCGGGGUGUAAACUCCUGUUGUAAGGGAAGAAGACAGUGACGGUACCUUACGAGGAAGCCCCGGCAAAACUACGUG
rnacentral:rRNA from 1 species